rnacentral:rRNA from 1 species
UGGGGAAUCUUCCGCAAUGGACGAAAGUCUGACGGAGCAACGCCGCGUGAGUGAAGAAGGUUUUCGGAUCGUAAAACCCUGUCUUUUGGGGCGAACGUGAGUAUGGUGAACAAUCAUAGUCAGUGACGGUACCAAAGGAGGAAGCCACGGCUAACUACGUGCCAGCAGCCGCGGUAAUACGUAGGUGGCAAGCGUUGUCCGGAAUUAUUGGGCGUAAAGAGCGCGUAGGCGGGAUAGUCAGUCUGUUGUAAAGUGCGGGGCUCAACCCCGUGAUCGCAAUGGAAACAGCUAUUCUUGAGUGCAGGAGAGGAAAGUGGAAUUCCCAGUGUAGCGGUGAAAUGCGUAGAUAUUGGGAGGAACACCAGUGGCGAAGGCGACUUUCUGGACUGUGUCUGACGCUGAGGCGCGAAAGCCAGGGGGAGCGAACGGGAUUAGAUACCCCCGGUAGUCCUGGGCCGUAAACGAUGGGUACUAGGUGUGGGAGGUAUCGACCCCUUCCGUGCCGGAGUUAACGCAAUAAGUACCCCGCCUGGGGAGUACGGUCGCAAGACUGAAACUU